rnacentral:rRNA from 1 species
AUUGAACGCUGGCGGCAGGCCUAACACAUGCAAGUCGAGCGGAUGAAGGGAGCUUGCUCCUGGAUUCAGCGGCGGACGGGUGAGUAAUGCCUAGGAAUCUGCCUGGUAGUGGGGAUAACGUCCGGAAACGGGCGCUAAUACCGCAUACGUCCUGAGGGAGAAAGUGGGGGAUCUUCGGACCUCACGCUAUCAGAUGAGCCUAGGUCGGAUUAGCUAGUUGGUGGGGUAAAGGCCUACCAAGGCGACGAUCCGUAACUGGUCUGAGAGGAUGAUCAGUCACACUGCAACUGAGACACGGUCCAGACUCCUACGGGAGGCAGCAGUGGGGAAUAUUGGACAAUGGGCGAAAGCCUGAUCCAGCCAUGCCGCGUGUGUGAAGAAGGUCUUCGGAUUGUAAAGCACUUUAAGUUGGGAGGAAGGGCAGUAAGUUAAUACCUUGCUGUUUUGACGUUACCAACAGAAUAAGCACCGGCUAACUUCGUG